ACUACCCAGUGCCUAACAACUCCAUAGAAAUGUUGUGAUAUAUGCAUAUGAUUCAUAUUUAUCUACUAUGUGAAUAUGUACCCAUUAUAUACCCAAAUUGAAUGCCUAUAUUACAAAUCUUGUAUCUGAAAUAAGAUCUGGAUGCGUCGAGUGAAAUAUCCAGGCUCAGAAAUGGCCUUCAGCAGGUUGUUCUGUACCAGACACAGAUCAUACAGCUCUGAUGUGGAGGCUGUUCGAGUCUGACAGCCCUCAGGGUCCAGAAACACCUGCAGAAAUAGCAAGUCUCCCUGACUGGGUCAAGUUUCAAUCCACCUCCUCCAUGCUGCUGUAGGACGGGGCGGCACAUUCUCCAG